ensembl:lncRNA
GUAAGUACAGUAGUAGUAAGUAGUAAGUAAGUAAAUAGUAAGUAGUAAGUGAAUAAAUAGGGGGCAAGUCAGCCCCGCGAAACGUGCAGCAAAGCGGCGCCUUUCCGGCCCUUGCGCGCCCCUCUCGAGAUCCCUGCCGCGGCCCCAUCGGAGAGGCUGCGGCGGCUGUGGGCUGUCCGAGCCCCCCUUGGCUUCCCCCCGUUGCAUUUCCCUCGGUUGAAAGGAAGGCGCGGGAGCUUGGUUUGCAACGGAAAGGGAGUCUCUUCCUCCGCCUCGUCUCGGGGGCUUCUCCCCUGUCCUCCCUCCUCACUGAGGGACAGUCGCUUGGCUCGGUUAUUUCUUUGGCAGGGACACAGCUUUCAGAUUGUGGCGCCUUCAGAAGGAGCGUCUGGAGAAAGAGGAGAUUCGCGCCCAGGAAGCUCUCGCCCUCCUGGAGAAAAAGAGGCUGGUGAGCGCGUUUGAGGCCUGGCGUUCCCGCUACAGGGCAGCCCGGCGGAUCCUGCCAUUGGUGGCUCAGGUGCAGAGAGGGCUGCUAAGCCGCUGUUUCCAGGCCUGGAAGUCUGUCACCGACCGGGCGGCGCUAUGCAGGCAUGGCAGGGAACGCCUGCGACUCGAAUCCCUGAGGGUGCAUUUCCAUCAAUGGGCCCUGAUGUUGCAAGUCCGGGAAAAGGCCAAGAAGACUCUGCUGGAGCUGUGGGCCUUGAAGUGGAGGCGAGCCCACGCCAUUUCCCCAGUGACUCGCAAGAUCUCGCUGCCACAGAUCUUCACAUGCAAGCGCCGUUCCCUCUGGGUUAUGGCCACACCCAGAAUCGGAGGCAGCUGCUGGCGAAAUGCUUUGCGUUUUGGUCGGCCAGGACUGUGCAAAACCUGAAGGCAGAACAACACCGCAAGCGGGCUCUCCUCUCCGGAUCUCAGGCCCAACUGAAGAGGCCUCGGUCCAGUAUACCUGAAGGAGCAUCUCCACCUCCAUUGUUCUGCCUGGACACUGAGGUCCAGCGCCAAGGGCCUUCUGGCGGUUCCCUUGCAAUGAGAAGCCAAGUUACAGGGAACCAGGCAGAGGGCCUUCUCGGUAGUGGCGCCUGCCCUGUGGAACGCCCUCCCGCCAGAUGUCAAAGAGAAAAAAAACUACCAAACUUUUAGAAGACAUCUGAAGGCAGCCCUGUUUAGGGAAGCUUUUAAUGUUUAAUAGGUUAUUGUAUUUUAGUGUUCUGUUGGAAGCCGCCCGGAGUGGCUGGGGAAACCCAGCCAGAUGGGCGGGGUAUAAAUAAAUUAUUAUUAUUAUUAUUAUUAUUAUUCCUCCCUGCAUCCAGAAAACUCCUCCAGGGAACGAUAUGCUCAGCUGAUCAGAUUCUCUGGCUAAACAGGAGGCACUGAAACUGGGCCACAAGGAGGAGCCAUGAACCCAAUGCCAAUUGUCCUAGCAGAGGCUGAACAGUUCUCAAAAUAUUCUCCAGAGAUCACAAGCAGAGGGUUUGCUCCCCACAUACGCUCUCAGUCCAAGCAUCCCAAGUUUCCACGGAAACGUUUUCACUGCCAGCCUACCAGAGGAAGGACCAGUGUCGGAUUAAACCCAGUGGAGGCUCCUAGGCAGUCAGAAUCUCGCAGGCCCCCUCACAAAUUAUUUCCCAAUUUUCUUUCAAGAUCAAAUCAAUAUUAUUUUGUUGUUGUUUUUUUUCCAUAAUUUUUUAUUAAUUUUCCAACAUAAAUUAAAAACAAUACAAAACACAAUACAUAGACAAACAAACAAACAAACAAACAUAUAAACACGUAUAAUUUCAAAACCUCUUUUUCAUAAAUCUUACUUCCCCGACUUCCCCAUGCCUCCCCUUUCUGCAUCCCUAUUUUAAAAUUUCUUCAGCAACCCCUCACUUCAAUUAACUGAUUACUCAUUUUCUUUAUUUUUUUUCCCCUUCUUCUCUUAAUCAUUUACAGCUGUACUUCUAUAUUGUUUCUUUACCCAUGGCAUUUUAGCACUCAUUAAUUUUACAACAGUUCUUAAGAUAUACUUUAAAUUUCUUCCAAUCUUCUUCCGCCGUCUCUUUUCCUUGAUCACGGAUUCUGCCAUUCAUCUCCGCCAGUCCCAUAUAAUCAAUCACCUUCGUCUGCCAUUCUUCCAGCGUGGGUAGUUCUUGUGUCUUCCAAUACUUUGCUAAAAGAACCCUUGCUGCUGUGGUAGCAUACAUAAAAAACAUCCUGUCCUUCCUUGACACCAAUUGGCCAACCAUGCCAAUCAAUAUUAUUUUGAUCCGUUGUUGAGGGGCCCCUAGGCUCGUAGGCCAGUGCCCAGUCUGUCUGUUUGGUAAUCUGGCACUGAGGAAGGACGCACCUUGACAUUGACAAUGUGGUAAUUCACUCGCUGGCCGUAGUUCUUCGGAGGGCUCUGACGUUCUCGCUGGAGGUGAAGAACUCCAGGUAAGCCUGGAAGGAGUCGAGAGAGGAGAUGUAGACACCAAAGAAUCCCAGCAAUGGCACAAUUUAAAUGUUUAAAUUAACUUGGGGGGGGGAGCAGAGGUUUUUCUAUUAGGAAUUGUAGGUGCCGAUAUUCCAAGGGAGCAGAAAAUACUUUUUAUGUAUGCGACGACAGCCACCCGGUUGUUACUGGCCCAGAGAUGGAAAGAAGACAAAGUCCCUAAUAGGGAGCCCAGAACAAUGGUGCGCAAGGCCUUAUAUAGACAUUUUAAAUUCCCUGCCCUGUCACUCAAGACUACCCGUCCAUACAUCAUACCUACAUCACAGAAAAGGCGGUCUACAAUUUAAAUGUUGGACUACAGAAAUUUAAAAUUCAGUACCAAAUUAUCUAAGGUUGUUCACCAAAGCCAGACUAAACGUCUUUCCUUCUGCAGUGUUGGAUGGCAGGUUGAGAGGAGUUCCCUACCAGGACAGACUUUGCUCAUGUGCUCAAGACAUCGAUUCUAUAAAACAUAUUUUGCUGCGAAACAUGAGCAAGCCAAGGCUGAACUGAUAUUACCCUUGCUGGUACCUUUCCUGGGAAAAUCAGAGGCUCAUUAUGUCAGGUUCCUAUUGGAAGACCGGACAAACGCUAGAACAUUAGCAGUGGCAAAGUUUUUAUCGGUGGUUGCAAGAACCAAUGAUCCCUGUCUUUAAGUCUGAACAAAAUGCUUGUUUAACCUGGAGGUAGGCUGUCUGAAUUGUGCAUUGCUUUGUAACAAUUUGUUGGGUCUCUGGACCGUAAUAAAGGGGGGAAAUCAAUGCUAAAAGCAGUUCAAAACAAUUUACAGUCACAGCGAUCUGCUGUGACCUGAAAAACGUGUCUCUUGGAUCAUAGAAUCAUAGAGUUGUAAGGGACCCGAGGGUCAUCUAGUCCAACCCCCUGCAAUGCAGGAAUCUCAGCUCAAGCAUCCAUGGCAGAUGCCCAUCCAACUCCUUUCCUGCAACUUGAAGCAACUGGUUUGAAUCCUACCUUCCAGAGCAGGAGGAAACAAGCUUGCUCCAUCCUCCAUGUGACAGCCAUCUUUGAAGAUGGCUACCAUAUCUCCUCUCAGUCUCCUCUUUUGCAGGCUAAACAUCCCCAGCUCCUUCAACCGUUCCUCACAAGGCUUAGCUUCUAGAUCAUCCUAGUUGCCCUCCUCUGCACACGCGAAGCCAAAGUGGUUGUGUCUUCAGCCUGUGAUGGGAGCAAUACAAUGAAGGUGCAUGAUCCAGGGGGCACGACUCUAAAUCCGGCCCUACUUCCCUGCCAGUUGGGCCUCACUUGCACCUUCCUGCUUGGCCUCUGUUCGACAUCUGCGGACGGCACUUCCUCAGAGACAUCUGCGGCGGCCUCCUCAAAUCCCACCUGCAGCAUCAGGAAGGAACCCUGUCAGGACAGAGCAACAGGGCAAGGAGGGAGAGGCCUGGGCGGAAAACCCAGAGCCUCCCUCAAACCCCACCCUGAAGCCAUCACCCAGCCAUACCCUCCAACGUUCCUUAGAUGAAAAGAGGGGCAUUUGUCACUCCCCACUCAACUGACCCUCC